GACGAACGCUGGCGGCGUGCUUAACACAUGCAAGUCGAACGGAAAGGCCCUGCUCUUGUGGGGUGCUCGAGUGGCGAACGGGUGAGUAACACGUGAGUAACCUGCCCUUGACUUUGGGAUAACUUCAGGAAACUGGGGCUAAUACCGGAUAGGAGCUCCUGCUGCAUGGUGGGGGUUGGAAAGUUUCGGCGGUUGGGGAUGGACUCGCGGCUUAUCAGCUUGUUGGUGGGGUAGUGGCUUACCAAGGCUUUGACGGGUAGCCGGCCUGAGAGGGUGACCGGCCACAUUGGGACUGAGAUACGGCCCAGACUCCUACGGGCGGCAGCAGUGGGGAAUAUUGCACAAUGGGCGGAAGCCUGAUGCAGCGACGCCGCGUGCGGGAUGACGGCCUUCGGGUUGUAAACAGCUUUCGCCGGUGACGAGGAGUGAGUGACGGUAAUGGGUAAAGAAGCACCGGCUAACUACGUG
rnacentral:rRNA from 1 species